UCCUGCCCUGUUCAUGUCUGACUAGCUAACUACUGUAACUAGAAGAUGACACCUUCUUCAGAAGCUUGAAAAAGGCAGGGAGACAAGGAUGAGGUGAAAAAGCACAGCAGACAAGAUGCGAAGCAUUCACGCCAAGUCCUCAAUUCACAAACUGAUUUGAUCUGCUGUUGUAUUCCCAGAGUGCUAGGUCCCGUAUGGGACACCAACGCCAUCCCAUAUGCUCACUGUUCUGCGCUGCUGUGUAUAAAGCCCUGGGCAAGAGGACAAGGGAGGGAAAAACCAGAAAGACUGAGUCAGAGAAGGCUCGGGAUGAAAUUUGAGUCCAUUGGGAUCAUUCUGCCUAAACGACAGAGGAGAAAGCUUGGGCUCAGGGAGGAGUCCUCCUCCUCCUGGCUCAAGGUCACCGGGACAGACCAGUCAGGAUGGGAAAGAACUCCACUUUCAAGAGCAAGACCUGUUUCCCCAGGACCUGGGCCCUGUGCAGACAGGAAGGGGGACUUCAGGAUGGAUGGGGAAAAGGACACGCUGGGAGGCUGCGGGGCCAGCCUUUGGGGCUUGCAUCCUGCGAAGGUUGAGUAACUCCACGGGUCUCCCUUUUGCCGCUAUACCACUUGCCAACUGGGUUUGGAGUCUCUUGGCUUGUGAGUCCUCAGGGACCAGAGAAGUGACUCAGUGAACACUUAGUACAUCGUUGGCACCGGGGAUUGUGUGUGAUUCAGGAGUCACUCACAGAGCUUGUGCUGAUUAACUCCAGAAACUCACCCAAAGCCUCCUCCCCACCCCUUCAAGCCCAGGAUGAAGGGAUCAGACUGUGGCUCUGACACUCCUGAAAUGUUUCUCACGUGUCCACCUGCCAACCGGUCUGGUACCGACAGAAGAUCCCUGGACCGCGAACUCCGGGGCUAGGAGCUUCCUCCACGCACUGCCUCCUUCCAGCGGCCCACAGGGAAAACAGGACCUCGGGACCCCCUCUCUUCCUGACCUCCCCUGGAUUCUGAGCGGGCCCACCCUCAACCAAAGGUCCCCUGUUUCGCGGCCCCUGCCUCUCUUUUUCCGCCUUGGGAAUUGUCCCCCUCGCCCCCCAUCCUACUCCCACUACGUCCUGAGGGGUGUCUGUCUUCUCUGAUCGCCCCCACCCCCUUCCUUUCCCUCCUCCUUUUCCUCCCUCGGCUCCUCCCCCAGGCC
rnacentral:lncRNA from 10 species